GUGGGGAAUUUUGGACAAUGGGCGAAAGCCUGAUCCAGCCAUGCCGCGUGCAGGAUGAAGGCCUUCGGGUUGUAAACUGCUUUUGUACGGAACGAAAAGACUCCUUCUAAUAAAGGGGGUCCAUGACGGUACCGUAAGAAUAAGCACCGGCUAACUACGUGCCAGCAGCCGCGGUAAUACGUAGGGUGCAAGCGUUAAUCGGAAUUACUGGGCGUAAAGCGUGCGCAGGCGGUUAUAUAAGACAGAUGUGAAAUCCCCGGGCUCAACCUGGGAACUGCAUUUGUGACUGUAUAGCUAGAGUACGGUAGAGGGGGAUGGAAUUCCGCGUGUAGCAGUGAAAUGCGUAGAUAUGCGGAGGAACACCGAUGGCGAAGGCAGUCCCCUGGGCCUGUACUGACGCUCAUGCACGAAAGCGUGGGGAGCAAACAGGAUUAGAAACCCCAGUAGUCC
rnacentral:rRNA from 1 species